rnacentral:rRNA from 1 species
CGUAGGUGGCAAGCGUUGUCCGGAAUUAUUGGGCGUAAAGGAUGCGUAGGCGGUUUUUUAAGUGGGAUGUGCAAUACCUAGGCUUAACUUAGGAAUGGCAUUCCAAACUGGAAGACUAGAGUGCAGGAGAGGAAAGUGGAAUUCCCAGUGUAGCGGUGAAAUGCGUAGAGAUUGGGAGGAACACCAGUGGCGAAGGCGACUUUCUGGACUGUAACUGACGCUGAGGCAUGAAAGCGUGGGGAGCAAACAGGAUUAGAUACCCUGGUAGUCCACGCUGUAAACGAUGAGUACUAGGUGUGGGGGGCGAAGCCCUCUGUGCCGCAGUUAACACAAUAAGUACUCCGCCUGGGAAGUACGAUCGCAAGAUUA